ensembl:lncRNA
UCGGGGCGCACGUCACAUCGCUGCGACGGCUGUGACGCUGGGAGACGGGUCGCCCUGCUCAGCGUGCCGUGGGUGCAUCCGUGUUGGCGGGCAUAACUGCCGCGGUUGUUGGCAAGUCUCCUCCGCCUGCUUGCUGUCACGGCUAAUCGGGCUGCUGUGAAGCGUGUGGCCUGUGGGACGCCACCGCUUCCCUGGACUGGCUGCUGUUUCGGCUCUUUUCCUACGGCUGUUUCGGCUCUUGUCUUUUUCUACGGCUGUUUCGGCUCUCUGUGCAGCUCUCUUGUCGACGUGUUGUGUCGGCUCGUUCUCUCUGUGGCUCUUUGCUUCAGCGUAGUAGUUUUAUUGCAUUGUACUUUCGGCACUAAAGCCUUAGGCUUUGUAACGCUGUUAUAUCGCCUUAUAUUGUAUAUGCAUUUUAACUAUUGUUCUGUGGAGUGAGUGUGUGUGCGUGUUUUAUGAUUAUGUGUAUCGGUCUGGUCACCAGGCUUCUGUUAAGUUAGCUUUACUAAUAAUUUGUUUCUUUUGUGCAGGUUCGGCAAGCCUCGGCGGCAGUCCAAUCCCUGGUGGUGGUUUCACAAGUCCUCUUUUUCGUUGGUGUGUCAUGUCACAGGUGUGGAAUUAUUUUUGGACCCCU